rnacentral:rRNA from 1 species
UACGUAGGGGGGCAAGCGUUUGUCCGGAUUUAUUGGGCGUAAAGCGCUCGCAGGUGGUUCGAUGCGUCGUGCGUGAAAGACCCCGGCUCAACUGGGGAGGGUCGUGCGAUACGGUCGAACUGGAGGCCAGUAGGGGGAUGCGGAAUUCCGGGUGUAGUGGUGGAAUGCGCAGAUAUCGGGAAGAACACCCGUGGCGAAGGCGGUUCUCUGGGACGGUACUGACGCUGAGACGCGAAAGCGUGGGGAGCGAACAGGG